rnacentral:rRNA from 1 species
GACGAACGCUGGCGGCGUGCUUGCACAUGCAAGUCGAGCGGAAAGGCCCAUCGGGGUACUCGAGCGGCGAACGGGUAGUAACACGUGAGUAACCUGCCCCCUACUUUGGGAUAACCCUCGGAAACGGGGGCUAAUACCGGAUACGACCUCCUGGGGCAUCUUGGGGGGUGGAAAGUUUUUCGGUGGGGGAUGGGCUCGCGGCCUAUCAGCUUGUUGGUGGGGUAAUGGCCUACCAAGGCGACGACGGGUAGCCGGCCUGAGAGGGCGACCGGCCACACUGGGACUGAGACACGGCCCAGACUCCUACGGGAGGCAGCAGUGGGGAAUAUUGCACAAUGGGCGGAAGCCUGAUGCAGCGACGCCGCGUGAGGGAUGAAGGCCUUCGGGUUGUAAACCUCUUUCAGCAGGGACGAAGCGCG